rnacentral:rRNA from 1 species
GACGAACGCUGGCGGCGUGCUUAACACAUGCAAGUCGAACGGGCCUUGUCCCCUUUUUUUUGGGGGUGGGGUUAGUGGCGAACGGGUGAGUAACACGUGAGUAACCUGCCCCUCACUUCUGGAUAACCGCUUGAAAGGGUGGCUAAUACGGGGUGUUCUGGCCUGCUCGCAUGGGUGGGUUUGGAAAGAUUCGACCGGUUUUGGUUGUUUUGGUGGGGGAUGGGCUCGCGGCCUAUCAGCUUGUUGGUGGGGUGAUGGCCUGCCAAGGCUUUGACGGGUAGCCGGCCUGAGAGGGUGGGCGGUCACACUGGGACUGAGACACGGCCCAGACUCCUACGGGAGGCAGCAGUGGGGAAUAGUGCACAAUGGGCGCAAGCCUGAUGCAGCGACGCCGCGUGAGGGAUGGAGGCCGUCGGGUUGUGAACCUCUUUCGCCAGUGAAGAAGGUCCUGCUCUUUGUGGUGGGGUUGACGGUAGCUGGGUUAAUGAAGCGCCGGCUAACUACGUG